CUCUAGCGCUCGUCCGCCUCGCGCAGACGAAUUCCGACCGCGCUGCGCGCUUCCUCUUCCUCCUUUCUCGUUUCCCUGUUUUCCCCCAUUUUCCUUUCCUCUUCCUUCCUAUUUGCUCCACCUCCUACCUUCCUGCCGGCAGCGGCGUUUCUCAGGAUCCCGUUCACUCCUCUCUGCGCUGCUACUGCUCGUCCUCCCGCUCCUGUACCUCCUCGUGCCCCCACCAACACCUCCCCCCUUUGCGCCACACCCCAACCCCACCGAGGCCUCCUCCAUGGUCGUCUGCACGCGCUAGACCUCCACCCACCGCCCGGUGAAGUCAGGUGGUCCUUCCUCCUCGUCGCCUCCGCCACCGACGCUGCCGCACAAGGUAUUCAGUGUGGCCUCCUCCCGCCGCAAGCCGCCUCCUGCUGCUCUGCCUAUGGAUCCUCCCGACCUCCACCUCUGCAGCUCCCACGACAUCUCCGCCCCCCGCCCACACACGUUCAUAUCCUCACAUGUGAAUCUAGUGCCUUUUUGGUAGAGUUCUAGUAUGAGAGUUCCAGCCAUGGUGUCCACAGGAGGUGGCUCAAAUUGAUCUUUAAUUUAUUUUCCCUAUGAGUAUAUUGUUAUUGGCACUCCAGUUAUUAGGGUUGAAUUAAUUUUGAAGAAUUAGCUUGAGAAAUAUAAGGAACUGAUGAUUUUGUGUGUCACCAGGAGCCCUGUUUUCUGCAUAUCUGUGAGCUUACUGUCCAAACAACUUGCAGACACCAUGCACUCCUUCAAUUAUCGCAACAGAUUGUCCAGGCAGGUCUUGGGGGAGUGCUAGAGAUACCAAAAUGUCACGUGGAAUACUGAACUAGUUGCAUCAGUCAUAACAACAGUUGGGGAAAGAACAUUUGGCUGCUUUAGGUGGUUCCCUCCAAAGCCACAGUCUGGAAUCAUAAAGGAAGGGCAACCAGUUAAGUGGUUCUUUCCUCUUUGUUCCUUUGCAUAUUCAUCUGUCUAUUUUUCUUGCUUAUGAUUCCAGAUUAUAGUCAAAAUAUGUCAGGUAGCUAUAUAGUGUUCCUUUCUCUUCAGAGAUAUGGUUGGUAUGUACAUUCUUCUUGUUGUAACAUCUAUAUGGUAAUUUGCAGUCUAUUUCAUAAGGCACCAUAUGGUGUUUCUUCAGUAACUUGAUAUGUUUACCCUUCAAAUUGUAUUUGUAAACUGCAUGUACCUUCGACAACUCGGUGUCCGGAUUUCGCCCAGCUGGUUUGCACCAUCCAACUACUCCCUCUGUCCUUGUUUUGUAGGCGUACUUUUCAAAUACCUCAGUCCAUCUAUAUGAGCCGUCCUUGAUCGCUGGGUAAGUGCAGCAGCUGGAUGCAUUAAAAUAAUUGCAGCCCAAGUGAGCGAGGCUGCAUGCUAUAGGCCAAACGAGUAAAAGCUAGCUGUUGGGCCCACGAAGUGACGCAUAAAAAAUGAAGCUAACUAUCAGCCGGCUGUGCUCCUUGGUAUGUGUGAGAAAGCAAAAACACCUCGUAUACACGGACGGAGGGAGUAAGAGGUUGCUGCUUCGGCAUUGGCUGGCUGGCCAACCUUAGGUUGCUUUUAAUUCCUUUAGUCGAGGUUUUAAUUUACUUUAGAGGAGCUUUCAAUUUUUUCUUAGUUCUUUUGAGAUGAGCUUUUACAUUUUGCUGACCUGAGAUGCUACUUAACUAUUUUUUGACAUGGUAUUUAAUUUUCUAAGGAAGAGCUUUCAAUUUUCUUAAGACAA